rnacentral:rRNA from 1 species
AAAAGAAAUCAACCGAGAUUCCCCCAGUAGCGGCGAGCGAACGGGGAGCAGCCCAGAGCCUGAAUCAGUAUGUGUGUUAGUGGAAGCGUCUGGAAAGGCGCGCGAUACAGGGUGACAGCCCCGUACACAAAAAUGCACAUGCUGUGAGCUCGAUGAGUAGGGCGGGACACGUGGUAUCCUGUCUGAAUAUGGGGGGACCAUCCUCCAAGGCUAAAUACUCCUGACUGACCGAUAGUGAACCAGUACCGUGAGGGAAAGGCGAAAAGAACCCCGGCGAGGGGAGUGAAAAAGAACCUGAAACCGUGUACGUACAAGCAGUGGGAGCACGCUUAGGCGUGUGACUGCGUACCUUUUGUAUAAUGGGUCAGCGACUUAUAUUCUGUAGCAAGGUUAACCGAAUAGGGGAGCCGAAGGGAAACCGAGUCUUAACUGGGCGUUAAGUUGCAGGGUAUAGACCCGAAACCCGGUGAUCUAGCCAUGGGCAGGUUGAAGGUUGGGUAACACUAACUGGAGGACCGAACCGACUAAUGUUGAAAAAUUAGCGGAUGACUUGUGGCUGGGGGUGAAAGGCCAAUCAAACCGGGAGAUAGCUGGUUCUCCCCGAAAGCUAUUUAGGUAGCGCCUCGUGAAUUCAUCUCCGGGGGUAGAGCACUGUUUCGGCAAGGGGGUCAUCCCGACUUACCAACCCGAUGCAAACUGCGAAUACCGGAGAAUGUUAUCACGGGAGACACACGGCGGGUGCUAACGUCCGUCGUGAAGAGGGAAACAACCCAGACCGCCAGCUAAGGUCCCAAAGUCAUGGUUAAGUGGGAAACGAUGUGGGAAGGCCCAGACAGCCAGGAUGUUGGCUUAGAAGCAGCCAUCAUUUAAAGAAAGCGUAAUAGCUCACUGGUCGAGUCGGCCUGCGCGGAAGAUGUAACGGGGCUAAACCAUGCACCGAAGCUGCGGCAGCGACGCUGAUGCGUUGUUGGGUAGGGGAGCGUUCUGUAAGCCUGCGAAGGUGUGCUGUGAGGCAUGCUGGAGGUAUCAGAAGUGCGAAUGCUGACAUAAGUAACGAUAAAGCGGGUGAAAAGCCCGCUCGCCGGAAGACCAAGGGUUCCUGUCCAACGUUAAUCGGGGCAGGGUGAGUCGACCCCUAAGGCGAGGCCGAAAGGCGUAGUCGAUGGGAAACAGGUUAAUAUUCCUGUACUUGGUGUUACUGCGAAGGGGGGACGGAGAAGGCUAUGUUGGCCGGGCGACGGUUGUCCCGGUUUAAGCGUGUAGGCUGGUUUUCCAGGCAAAUCCGGAAAAUCAAGGCUGAGGCGUGAUGACGAGGCACUACGGUGCUGAAGCAACAAAUGCCCUGCUUCCAGGAAAAGCCUCUAAGCAUCAGGUAACAUCAAAUCGUACCCCAAACCGACACAGGUGGUCAGGUAGAGAAUACCAAGGCGCUUGAGAGAACUCGGGUGAAGGAACUAGGCAAAAUGGUGCCGUAACUUCGGGAGAAGGCACGCUGAUAUGUAGGUGAAGUCCCUCGCGGAUGGAGCUGAAAUCAGUCGAAGAUACCAGCUGGCUGCAACUGUUUAUUAAAAACACAGCACUGUGCAAACACGAAAGUGGACGUAUACGGUGUGACGCCUGCCCGGUGCCGGAAGGUUAAUUGAUGGGGUUAGCCGCAAGGCGAAGCUCUUGAUCGAAGCCCCGGUAAACGGCGGCCGUAACUAUAACGGUCCUAAGGUAGCGAAAUUCCUUGUCGGGUAAGUUCCGACCUGCACGAAUGGCGUAAUGAUGGCCAGGCUGUCUCCACCCGAGACUCAGUGAAAUUGAACUCGCUGUGAAGAUGCAGUGUACCCGCGGCAAGACGGAAAGACCCCGUGAACCUUUACUAUAGCUUGACACUGAACAUUGAGCCUUGAUGUGUAGGAUAGGUGGGAGGCUUAGAAGUGUGGACGCCAGUCUGCAUGGAGCCGACCUUGAAAUACCACCCUUUAAUGUUUGAUGUUCUAACGUUGACCCGUAAUCCGGGUUGCGGACAGUGUCUGGUGGGUAGUUUGACUGGGGCGGUCUCCUCCUAAAGAGUAACGGAGGAGCACGAAGGUUGGCUAAUCCUGGUCGGACAUCAGGAGGUUAGUGCAAUGGCAUAAGCCAGCUUGACUGCGAGCGUGACGGCGCGAGCAGGUGCGAAAGCAGGUCAUAGUGAUCCGGUGGUUCUGAAUGGAAGGGCCAUCGCUCAACGGAUAAAAGGUACUCCGGGGAUAACAGGCUGAUACCGCCCAAGAGUUCAUAUCGACGGCGGUGUUUGGCACCUCGAUGUCGGCUCAUCACAUCCUGGGGCUGAAGUAGGUCCCAAGGGUAUGGCUGUUCGCCAUUUAAAGUGGUACGCGAGCUGGGUUUAGAACGUCGUGAGACAGUUCGGUCCCUAUCUGCCGUGGGCGCUGGAGAACUGAGGGGGGCUGCUCCUAGUACGAGAGGACCGGAGUGGACGCAUCACUGGUGUUCGGGUUGUCAUGCCAAUGGCACUGCCCGGUAGCUAAAUGCGGAAGAGAUAAGUGCUGAAAGCAUCUAAGCACGAAACUUGCCCCGAGAUGAGUUCUCCCUGACCCUUUAAGGGUCCUGAAGGAACGUUGAAGACGACGACGUUGAUAGGCCGGGUGUGUAAGCGCAGCGAUGCGUUGAGCUAACCGGUACUAAUGAACCGUGAGGCUUAACCU